GGGCAUAUGGCUUAGUUAGGGAAAGCAUGCGACUCUUAAUCGUAGGAUUGAGGGUUCAAAUCCCUCUAUGCCCC
rnacentral:tRNA from 1 species